rnacentral:rRNA from 1 species
AUGUCUUCUAACCUGGUUGCAUUUUGUAAGCGUCCUUGUUUUGUCGGAGGGGGCGGCGACAACAGAGAAGCAUGUCCAACUAUAGCCACACAACUGAUCUCACAACUAGCUUUAUUAUUUUCUCGCAGCAGGGAGUGGGCAGUUUGCAAGAUAUUUUGGUCUUUUUGUUAUUUUUUAAAAAUCAUAUACUAUUUUUUUGCAUUGAAAAGAUUUUUCCCCAAGGGACCAGAACAAAAAACUACUUUGUUUUGUGAAAAAAGAGCAGAUAAAGCUGAAACAGUUACUUUUUUCUACAUCCAGGAACACAUAAAUGUUUGUUGUGAUGGAAUGGAGUAUCUAUAG